rnacentral:lncRNA from 1 species
CCCUAUUUGGAACAACUCAGUAGAUAACAUCUACAUCAAAUAAACUCCUUUUCACAUUAAGAGUCUUUAUAGCACUUCCUCAAAAUUAACUACUAGUUCACCAGAACAAAAAUUCUAUUUAUAGAGAUACUUAGAAAAAAAUUAAAUUAUGAAACUCAAUUAAAAAAAGAAAAAUUAAACCUUGAACAACACCCAUUUCUUGGAGAGUUGGUAUUUCUUAGAGACCUGCAACUCUCUCUUCCAUCUCUUUCAAUCUUUUUUUCAUCUCAUCCAAUUCCUUCAACACAAACAAACACAUUCAUCAAAUCAUAUACUUGAUUACGGAUAUUACAUUAGAAUCAACACUUGGGAUUUCUUAAUCCCAUAAAAUCAAUUAGGUUAUGAUUUACCUUUCUUUUUAAUACAAAAGUUAAGGAUAUAUAAAACCAAAUAAUUAGGUUAUGAUUUACCUUUCUUUUUAUUUUCCAAGAAUUAGAUUGUAUCCCCAUUCCAAAUAGUAUCCUUAAAAGGAGGGAAGGAGGGAAAGGGGAUAAUCUGGUACAUAGUAAUUUUAAAUUGAUAGUACACAAAUUACAGCAACUCAAUCAGAUAAUAAUGUGUAUUUAUGUAGAUAAACAGAUACAAAGCAAACAGCCUAGCAAGCCUCAAUGGUUCUCUCAAAUUUCGAUUUUAAUUGGUAAACCUGAAAUAAAUUAACCUCACAAAAUUAACACAAAACACAACCAUGAAGCUGAAUAAGACAUAAUUCACCCAAAUUGAGAGAAUACACCAGAAGCCCUAACUUGAAAAACACAAAAAGCUCCAACUUAAAAAUACCAGAAUUCAAUCAAUUUCACCAAAAGACACAAACAUAAAAUUAGACAAUACCUAUUAACCCAAUUCGCACCAACAAACAACAAUGAAGCUCAUAAAUAAAAUCAAAUCAGAAUGGCAAGUAGCAUAAAAUUUCAAAAAAUAUGAGCAUUUAUACAUGUAAAAGAGAUAAGAGAGAGAUAAAGAAACCUUUUUGCUCCUGCAGGGAGCUCCAAGGAGAAAACUUCUUCCUCCUUCUCAACUGAGCUCGCCAUUUCCCAACUAUCCGAAAAGAAAUAAAAUAAAACCUGAAUUAACAAUAAUAAUAACACAACUAGACCAACCUACUAUGAAUGUAAUACAUUAUAUAUCUAAUUUUCUCUCUUCAUCGACAACAAAAAUCGAUCGAUCCACAAACUUCACAGUUCGCAAUCUCUCGAUUUGCUCCACCCAAAAACCCCAAAUCGAAUUCGUGUGGGAGGAAGGAGAGAUAAAGAACAAAAAAUGAGGGGGAAACGAUUUCGCGAGGAAGGGGAAGAAACUGAAGAGGUUGAAGAGGAGACGAGCUGAGGAUGAAAAGAGAUGAUAUGUGAGCCUUUAGAUUAAGUAGGAAGAAUUGAAUUAAAUGUGAAUGAAUCUGAACCGUCAUUGUGCUUUCUCAAAUUUAAAGACGAACAAAAAAUAAGAUAAUGAAAAUAACCUACUCAAAUUGUCAUUAAACUUUGCACAAAGGCAAUUCUAAUGCACAGGUGCUUGUUAUAUAUAGAACUGAUAUAACCAACAACAUAGGCCUUGUUAACAAAAUCAAAAGAGAGAGUACAACAAAACCAAAGCAAAAUAAUAUAAAUAAUAAUAUAAAAAAAUAGCAUUGAGAUAUCACAAUAAAAAUUCUUAGAAAAUUGCAGGUUGUAAUGGAUAUGCUCAUGUAAUAAAAUAAUCAUUGCCCAAGCAACUUGUGCAUUUUGCUAAAUUUAAGCUAUAAUAUAUUAUAGCUUAACCACCUAUUUUAAGAUAUGAGCUACAAUCUUAAGCAAAUAAGCUGCAAUAAAUGCCGCUAGCAUAAUUAACAUAACAAACAUCAUUAUCAUGAUCAAAAUUAUUAGCGAUAAACUAUAUUUUUUUUCCUAUAUAACAACAUCAUCUUAACAUCACUUCAAUUUAACAAUUAUCAAACCGAGAAGAGAAAAAGAAAGAAAAAAAUGUAGAUAAAUCUUCACCGAAGUCCAAACUGAACAAACAUGCAAAAUAAAAUAUAAUUAUUCAUUAUUUUAACAAUAAGUUAAUCUGAGUAACAGAUAUUGAAAUCAUCGAAAAAUUUUAUGUUACUAUACUCAUAUUUUAAUAAUGGUAAGAUGAAAUGACACACUAACAUAACAAAUAAGUAUCACACUUUUAUUAUUUUUAAGAGUAUAUAUAUAGUACAAAAAUAGAAUUAAUUUUUAAGGAAGGAGGCUCUCAUAUUGGAAAACUAAAAUUUUUUAAACAUUAACGCAGUUGAGAAUUUGGUGAAAAUCCCAAUUCAAAAUUUCAAAUAAACUCGUUAAUACUGAAAUAAUUUUUUAAAAUAUAUAAGUAAUUAUUUUUCUUUUCUGGGUUCUUUGUGGAACUAAUUUGAACAUGAUUACUCAUAAAUUUGAAGGUGGACGAUAAAUAAUUUGACAUUCUUCUGAAUUACAACAUAAUUUACCUACCGAACUAUCACACAAAACAUGAGUUUUUACGAAAAUCUCAUAAUUAUCAAACAUGUGGGCGACUGCCAAUAUUUCCCUGAACUUAUCCCUUUUUGUUGUAUCAUGCCAAACCUAACUAAUUCAAAGUAAACACAACCUUGGGCCAACACACACCCAAGACAAUUCCAACAAAAUAUAAUUCGGAAGUAACAAAAUAAAAUAUAAUUCGAAUUGUAACAAAAUAAAAUAAAAUAAUGUAGUAAUCUUAAUUUUAAUCUAAUUUUAAAAAGAGCACGAAUAGUAAUGUUAAUUUUAAUAGGCUUAAUAGACGUAAGAGCAUAUGUCCUAACUGAAUGACACAACAAAGUUUAACACACACUAACUGCUAGAUAGUUGUGGCUAAAUUUACCUCAAGAUACUGCUCAAUGAUUUUAUCAGUUACAUGAACUGGAUUAUAUCAGAAAUCCUUUCCAAGAAAGCCUCAAUUCUACUGUGUUGACCCUCAUCCCUUCUUCCAUUAGGAAUGUCCACAUUAUCACCUUUUGUAAAACAUGAAAAGUUAAGGCUCUCUCUGCAAAAGGCAGAAACACAAGAAUAAUUUUAUCAAUCAGAGCGUAUUUCAGGUCGACAUAAACAUACGCACCAUGUGUGUUAAACUGUCUAAUAAAGUUUUUUAGUAAAAUCCAUGAACAGCAUAAUGACAUUAUGUUAUGCAUUUCAAUACCAUUACACUCCAACACCUCAGGUCCUGAACAAUUAGAUGUCUCCUUUGGCAAAAACAAUAAUGAAAAGAUUGUGAAACUAAUUAAUCUGACCCUUAGUCAUGGAAUAUGAAGAAAAAAUGACGCAAUAAAAUCAACAAACGUAUCAUUUUACGUUAGUUACUGGAGGCUCAAAUGAAAUUUUCUUUAACAAAAUCUGUUCAAAUAGUUCUCCAAUUUCCUCCUUGCCCUGCAAAAUAAAUUACAAAAAGGUUAGUGUAGAACUAAUCAAUUCAUUGUUAUCUCGAGGAACCCUAACCUGGCUAUUUGUCGAUAACCCAAAAUCUGUAACUUUUAAUAUAGGGGCAAGGUUUGGGGAAAUCGGGAAGAGCAAGGGAGUGAGGUAGAGUUGGGGUUGAAUUGGGAAGAGUUGGGGUUUUGAUUUUGGGGAAAUCAGGAAGAGAAACAAAAAGGCAGGAGAAGACAUGAGAAGGUGGGCAAAGA